CCUACGGGUGGCAGCAGUGAGGAAUAUUGGUCAAUGGGCGCGAGCCUGAACCAGCCAAGUCGCGUGAGGGAAGACGGUCCUAUGGAUUGUAAACCUCUUUUGUCGGGGCGCAAAAGACGCCACGCGUGGCGUUCCGAGAGUACCCGAAGAAAAAGCAUCGGCUAACUCCGUCCCAGCAGCCGCGGGAAUACGGAGGAUGCGAGCGUUAUCCGGCUUUAUGGGGUGUAAAGGGUGCGCAGGCGGAAGAUCAAGUCAGCGGGAAAAUUGAGAGGCUCAACCUCUUCGAGCCGUUGAAACUGGUUGUCUUGAGUGAGCGAGAGGUAGGCGGAAUGCGUGGUGUAGCGGUGAAAUGCAUAGAUAUCACGCAGAACUCCGAUUGCGAAGGCAGCAUACCGGAGCUCAACUGACGCUCAUGCACGAAAGUGUGGGUAUCGAACAGGAUUAGAUACCCGGGUAGUC
rnacentral:rRNA from 1 species